UGGGGGAUAUUGCACAAUGGGCGAAAGCCUGAUGCAGCGACGCCGCGUGGGGGAUGAAGGCUUUCGGGUUGUAAACCUCUUUCGCUAUCGAACAAGGCCCGCUUAGGGUGGGUUGAGGGUAGGUGGAGAAGAAGCGCCGGCUAACUACGUGCCAGCAGCCGCGGUAAUACGUAGGGCGCGAGCGUUGCCCGGAAUUAUUGGGCGUAAAGGGCUUGUAGGCGGCUUGUUGCGCCUGCUGUGAAAACGCGGGGCUUAACUUCGCGCGUGCAGUGGGUACUGGCAGGCUUGAGUGUGGUAGGGGUGACUGGAAUUCCAGGUGUAGCGGUGGAAUGCGCAGAUAUCUGGAGGAACACCGAUGGCGAAGGCAGGUCACUGGGCCAUUACUGACGCUGAGGAGCGAAAGCAUGGGUAGCGAACAGG
rnacentral:rRNA from 1 species